rnacentral:rRNA from 1 species
AAUAGAUACCCAGGUAGUCCACGCCGUAAACGAUGAGUGCUAAGUGUUAGAGGGUUUCCGCCCUUUAGUGCUGCAGCUAACGCAUUAAGCACUCCGCCUGGGGAGUACGGCCGCAAGGCUGAAACUCAAAGGAAUUGACGGGGGCCCGCACAAGCGGUGGAGCAUGUGGUUUAAUUCGAAGCAACGCGAAGAACCUUACCAGGUCUUGACAUCCUCUGACAACCCUAGAGAUAGGGCUUUCCCCUUCGGGGGACAGAGUGACAGGUGGUGCAUGGUUGUCGUCAGCUCGUGUCGUGAGAUGUUGGGUUAAGUCCCGCAACGAGCGCAACCCUUGAUCUUAGUUGCCAGCAUUCAGUUGGGCACUCUAAGGUGACUGCCGGUGACAAACCGGAGGAAGGUGGGGAUGACGUCAAAUCAUCAUGCCCCUUAUGACCUGGGCUACACACGUGCUACAAUGGAUGGUACAAAGGGCUGCAAACCUGCGAAGGUAAGCGAAUCCCAUAAAGCCAUUCUCAGUUCGGAUUGCAGG